UACAGAGGUCUCGAGCGUUAGGCGGAAUCACUGGGCUUAAAGCGUGUGUAGGCGGAUCGGUAAGUACCUUGUGAAAUCCCACAGCUUAACUGGGGAACUGCGUCCGAUACUGGAUGGCUUGGAUUUGGGAGAGGGAUGCGGAAUUCCAGGUGUAGCGGUGAAAUGCGUAGAUAUCUGGAGGAACACCGGUGGCGAAGGCGGCAUCCUGGACCAAUAUUGACGCUGAGGAGCGAAAGCCAGGGGAGCGAACGGG
rnacentral:rRNA from 1 species